GACCAGUUAGCUCAGUUGGUUAGAGCAUGGUGCUGGGAACACCAAGGUCAAGGGUUCAGAUCCCCUUACUGACCA